GUUGAACGCUGGCGGAAUGCUUUACACAUGCAAGUCGAACGGUAGAGGGGGCAACCCCUCGAGAGUGGCGAACGGGUGAGUAAUAUAUCGGAACGUGCCCAGUCGUGGGGGAUAACGUAGCGAAAGUUACGCUAAUACCGCAUACGAUCUAAGGAUGAAAGCGGGGGAUCGCAAGACCUCGCGCGAUUGGAGCGGCCGAUAUCAGAUUAGGUAGUUGGUGGGGUAAAAGCUCACCAAGCCAACGAUCUGUAGCUGGUCUGAGAGGACGACCAGCCACACUGGAACUGAGACACGGUCCAGACUCCUACGGGAGGCAGCAGUGGGGAAUUUUGGACAAUGGGCGAAAGCCUGAUCCAGCCAUUCCGCGUGCAGGAUGAAGGCCCUCGGGUUGUAAACUGCUUUUGUACAGAACGAAAAGGUUUCUACUAAUACUAGGAGCUCAUGACGGUACUGUAAGAAUAAGCACCGGCUAACUACGUGCCAGCCGCCGCAGUAA
rnacentral:rRNA from 1 species